rnacentral:ribozyme from 11 species
AAACAAAGAGAAAUGUGUGAACAGAAGCGAGAGGAGAAAACGCGCUCUUUUCUUUCUUUCUAUCUUUCUUUCUUUCUUCCCCUCCUCUUUUCUUCUCUCAAUUU